rnacentral:lncRNA from 1 species
CAGGGAGGAAGUUUAUUUAUAACCCUUCCUGCCACGUGCACACGGCGGAGGCUGGCAGACCCAUGUGCCCACCCCGAAGGGCAGAGCUGGGAGUCGAGAGUCCAAUUUGGCCCGGUUGGUUCCAGUCUUCAUAAUCUGGAAUUUCCGGAAUUUUCCCUCAUUGUAGCUGAGGCUGGCACACUCCAUUUCAUUAAGGACGAGAAAGAGUGCGGGUGUCGGGGCUCUAGCCCACGGCUGACCUGCGGAGUCAUCACACCCUCGGAGUUCAGCCUGCAGACUCCCGCUGGACCGGGGUGGGAGCACCUGCGCUCCUGUCCGGUGAGGCUGGGGCCGUCUCAACCAGCUUUGGCCACCGGGUGGAUGAGCUCUCACGUGUCCCUGCUCGGCUUGGCCCCUGACACGCGGUGGCAGCUACUCUGACAAAGCCCAUUGCACGUUUCCUCUCUUAGAGUUUCCGUUUUUGUGGGAUCAGAGGCCGGGCUCAGUGCAUCUCUGUGUUCUCAGGGCUGGAAGACUGCGGCCCGUCACCGUAGCUGGAGGAAAUGUGUGCCAAUUUCCUCAUGGGGACAUGAGACGCUCAGUCAGAGCCACUCUAGGAGGAAGGAUGCUGGUGCCAGCAGGGGUGCACCCGGCUGCAGCUACGAGCAUCUGACUGGCUCUACUGUCAUGAAGUGGACGAUUGCCACACCAGGAGUUACCGAAGACCUGGGGUAUAGUCUUGGCCCUCCUGGUGAGCAUGAGGGGCAGCCAAGCUGCUGUCCCCCGGCUCUCGCGCUGUAGGGGCCGGCCUGAGAGGGCAGAUGCCUUUGGAUCGACUUCAAUUUUCAAUCCAUCUGGGGAGACCUGGGCGCUGCUUCACCAGCUCUGUCAAAGUGCCUUGAAGCUCGACUCUUGGAGCCAGAAGCCAACUUGGAGGACUGGCGUUUGAGCCCAACUUGGGUCCUAACUUGCUGUGUGGCCAAGGAAAAGUCACCCAACCUCUCUGGGCUUCAUUUCUGCAUCUAUCAAACGAGACAGAAUGAUUUCUGCUCUGACUGCUCAGAGGGGCAAUAGGAAAAGCAAAUAAAAUCAUAGUAAUUGCUCCA